CCUUAAUAUGUAUCUCGAGAAAAACGUAACGGAAAUUAAAACGUAAUAUCUCAAAUAAAAGAUACACAUUUCGAGAACAUAUUUUAAACAUAAAAUUAACAAGUUUUAACUUUAAUACUAGAUAAUAUCCUCAAUAACACAAAAAAGUCAUUUUUUUAUGCACAAACAUUAUUUGUACACUUCUUCGUCUUGACUUCUAUUUAUUUCUAUUUCUGAAUCCAACGGUAAUCCGCGAUUCAUUUAUGAACAGUACUUCGGAGCAAACUUCAGUGUACUAUUCUCAAAGUUAUUUAGUUAGUUUCGCUGCUUUUUUUUUGCUGUAAUUGGACGAAAUGGGUCGGGGUCAAGAUGUAUCUCUAAAUUUUCGAAAAACUAUAAAAAAUUGUUAAUAUAUUUAGCGAACCGGAAUUAACUCGAAAUUGGUAGAAAUAUUGUCAAGUCACCUUCCACAAGCACGUAAGCAUUGCAGAAUUUGCAGUAGAACAUAGGGAAGGAACCACAUACUGACACCACGGGAGGAGCAUAAAGUUAAGCCGUCAAAAAAAAAAAUUUUGUACCCAAACCAUCCGGAACACCCUGCACAAUGCUGGUCUACAUGGUAGAGUUGUUCGUAAAAACCCAUUGAUUUCUGAUUACAACAAAAAAUGCGUUUGGAGAUCGCAAAAGUGCAUCGGUCCUUUUAAAGUAUGUCAAAAGGCAAAUGAAGGAAAAAACUUGACUCCAACUUUUAAGCACGUUGGCCAGAAUGUGAUGGUUUAUGGGUGUAUAGCUCCAGGUGGAGUGGGUCGAAUGGUCUUUUUGGAAGAUAAAAUUAAUCAAUUUAUGUAUAAAGACAUUUUAGGCCAAAAUUUAAUUCCAAGUGCCCUUGGACAGAACCCAGCGUCUUUCGUAUUUCAAUAAGAUAAUCACCCGAUAUAUUUUAAGUGCCUUUUAUAUCACUGCAAGGAGCAAAAACCGACUCUACAAUCACCAGAUUUCAAUCCCAUUGAACAUUUAUGGGAUAUCCUCCAGAAAAGGACAACAUAUCCUCGAAGGAAACCUUAAAACCCGCAUUUAUACCUGAAGGGGAUUCAAUUAAUGCUGACGAGACAAGCAACUUUAUAAAAAGCAUGUGUCGACGUUUACAAGCUUCCAUUAAGGCCAACGAUGGACCCACUAAAGAUUAUAAUCUUUAAAUCUUUGAAAUUUUUUUUUCAACAUUUUAUAAAGUGUAC